UACGAAGGGGGCUAGCGUUGCUCGGAAUCACUGGGCGUAAAGCGCGCGUAGGCGGACCUGCAAGUCGGGGGUGAAAGCCCGAGGCUCAACCUCGGAACUGCCUUCGAUACUGCGGGUCUCGAGUCCGGGAGAGGUGAGUGGAAUUCCUAGUGUAGAGGUGAAAUUCGUAGAUAUUAGGAAGAACACCAGUGGCGAAGGCGGCUCACUGGCCCGGUACUGACGCUGAGGCGCGAAAGCGUGGGGAGCAAACAGG
rnacentral:rRNA from 1 species